AAGAAAUUAUCCUGACUCAUUGAACCUGGAUCGAAUUAGUGAGAUUGCGUGAAUUUAAAAGGUCGUUUAUGAAACCGCUUUAGUCCCGAUUGAUUUGUUAAGUUAUUUCAAGUCAGUUUUUGGACUUUAAUCCCCGCUUUUCUUAGCGUCUUUUAUGAAACAGCCCCCAGCUGUCGUGUGACUCCGUUGCUUGGGUUGUGUUGAUUGGUCACAAGUGUGUCUUGUUAUUCAUUAGUCUGUAGAGCCCUUGUGUUUCAUAGUUCUUGGUUUAGGUUUCUCACCGAGCUGUAACUGCAGAUUGGUCAGAGACGAGAGCUCAUGCGUCACAUGACAAAGUCUUUGCUGCCCUCUGGUGGACAACAUGAGACACUGACUAUAGGGUGCGCUGAUCACGUGACUGGCCAGAUCAAAGAGUGACUGCUCAAUCUAUGUGUAUGCUGCAUUAUUUUCUGCGAAAUGGACUAAAUGGAUGUGUUGUCUUUAGCCAAAACUGCAGUAAAAUAAUGGAGAUGUGGACAAGAAGAGCUACAUGAUCCCAGCUCUGCGCCAAGUCAGUCAUCAAGCCAAGAAAGAUCCCACCCUUCUCCUUGGAAUGAAG